GGCUGUGGCUCAGUGGCAGAGCACUUGCCUAGCAUGCGUGAGGCACUGGGUUCUAUCCUCAGCACCA
rnacentral:tRNA from 1 species